CUUUCUUUGCUGGCGACCGGCGCACGGGUGAGUAACACGUAUCCAACCUGCCCUUUACUCGGGGAUAGCCUUUCGAAAGAAGGAUUAAUACCCGAUAGCAUAAUGAUUCCGCAUGGUUUCAUUAUUAAAGGAUUCCGGUAAAGGAUGGGGAUGCGUUCCAUUAGGUUGUUGGUGAGGUAACGGCCCACCAAGCCUUCGAUGGACAGGGGUUCUGAGAGGAAGGUCCCCCACAUUGGAACUGAGACACGGUCCAA
rnacentral:rRNA from 1 species